CGCAAAACGAUACCCGUAGUUAGCGAAAGUCUUCUGUCUGCAAGCAUGUUGGCUGUGAAUUUACCCGCAGUCAUUGUUUUGCUAAAUUACUCUUGAAGAUUUAAGCGACACCUUUUUUUGGGAUAGGAUAGCAAAAAUGCCUCGUUAUGCUCAAAUGGUGAUGGGCCCGGCAGGAAGUGGAAAGAGUACCUACUGCUCUACCCUGAUCCAUCAUGCGGAAGCCAUAAACCGCUCUGUACAGGUGGUCAACCUAGACCCAGCCGCUGAAUACUUUGAUUACCCGGUCAUGGCAGAUAUCCGGGAGCUCAUCAUGGUGGAUGACGUGAUGGAGGAUGAGUCACUGAGGUUCGGCCCAAAUGGAGGGCUGGUGUUCUGCAUGGAGUACUUUGCCAACAACUUUGACUGGCUGGAGGAGAGCCUGGGUCAAGUGUAGGACGACUACAUACUGUUUGACUGUCCUGGUAAGGUGCUUUUCAUAGAGGGGGGCAAGGAACGUGAUCUGGAUGAUGAUGAUGGAGGUUAAGUGAACAUGGUGAAUAAUAUGGAUCUGAUUUUGAUGUUGACCAUGAUGAUGAUAGUGAUGGUGGUUGAGAAGUUUGUGAUGUGGUGAGAAUGGUAUUGACGACGAUGAUGACGGUGUUAGUGAUGUCUUCAGGUCAAAUAGAGCUCUACACACACCUCCCUGUGAUGAGGCAGCUGGUAGAGCAGCUCCAGCAGUGGGAAUUCCCUGUCUGUGGCGUCUUCCUGGUGGACUCACAGUUCAUGGUGGAGACCUUCAAGGUACCUGGACCCUGACAUGUACUCAAUGAUGGAGGACAACUCUGUCACCAUUAGGAGCAAGAAGUUCAAGAAGCUGACCAAAGCCAUCUGUGGUUUG